rnacentral:rRNA from 1 species
GACAUAGGUCACAAACGUUAUCCGGAAUUAUUGGGCGUAAAGGAUGCGUAGAUGGUAGAAUAAGUUAUUGAUGGUAAAUCAAGGCUCAACCUUAGUGGAAGUUGAUAAUACUAUUUUACUUGAGGACAGGAGAGGUUAAUGGAACUCCAUGUGGAGCGGUGAAAUGCACAGAUAUAUGGAAGAACACCAAAAGGCGAAGGCAGUUAACUAUUCUGCUCCUGACAUUGAGGCAUGAAAGCGUGGGGAGCAAAACGG